GGAGCUUGCUCCCUGAUGUUAGCGGCGGACGGGUGAGUAACACGUGGGUAACCUGCCUGUAAGACUGGGAUAACUCCGGGAAACCGGGGCUAAUACCGGAUGGUUGUUUGAACCGCAUGGUUCAAACAUAAAAGGUGGCUUCGGCUACCACUUACAGAUGGACCCGCGGCGCAUUAGCUAGUUGGUGAGGUAACGGCUCACCAAGGCGACGAUGCGUAGCCGACCUGAGAGGGUGAUCGGCCACACUGGGACUGAGACACGGCCCAGACUCCUACGGGAGGCAGCAGUAGGGAAUCUUCCGCAAUGGACGAAAGUCUGACGGAGCAACGCCGCGUGAGUGAUGAAGGUUUUCGGAUCGUAAAGCUCUGUUGUUAGGGAAGAACAAGUACCGUUCGAAUAGGGCGGUACCUUGACGGUACCUAACCAGAAAGCCACGGCUAACUACGUGCCAGCAGCCGCGGUAAUACGUAGGUGGCAAGCGUUGUCCGGAAUUAUUGGGCGUAAAGGGCUCGCAGGCGGUUUCUUAAGUCUGAUGUGAAAGCCCCCGGCUCAACCGGGGAGGGUCAUUGGAAACUGGGGAACUUGAGUGCAGAAGAGGAGAGUGGAAUUCCACGUGUAGCGGUGAAAUGCGUAGAGAUGUGGAGGAACACCAGUGGCGAAGGCGACUCUCUGGUCUGUAACUGACGCUGAGGAGCGAAAGCGUGGGGAGCGAACAGGAUUAGAUACCCUGGUAGUCCACGCCGUAAACGAUGAGUGCUAAGUGUUAGGGGGUUUCCGCCCCUUAGUGCUGCAGCUAACGCAUUAAGCACUCCGCCUGGGGAGUACGGUCGCAAGACUGAAACUCAAAGGAAUUGACGGGGGCCCGCACAAGCGGUGGAGCAUGUGGUUUAAUUCGAAGCAACGCGAAGAACCUUACCAGGUCUUGACAUCCUUUGACAAUCCUAGAGAUAGGACGUCCCCUUCGGGGGCAGAGUGACAGGUGGUGCAUGGUUGUCGUCAGCUCGUGUCGUGAGAUGUUGGGUUAAGUCCCGCAACGAGCGCAACCCUUGAUCUUAGUUGCCAGCAUUCAGUUGGGCACUCUAAGGUGACUGCCGGUGACAAACCGGAGGAAGGUGGGGAUGACGUCAAAUCAUCAUGCCCCUUAUGACCUGGGCUACACACGUGCUACAAUGGACAGAACAAAGGGCAGCGAAACCGCGAGGUUAAGCCAAUCCCACAAAUCUGUUCUCAGUUCGGAUCGCAGUCUGCAACUC
rnacentral:rRNA from 1 species